GACCUGGUAAUAUUAUUUCAACGUGUCUAAUUAGAGUCGCAUGCAUGAUUCAGAUUUGUAUUUAUAUGAUUCUUUCUGGAUACCAAUGUUAGUAUUAAAUAAAAUUUUACUAAUUUUUUCUUUAUUUAACUGAUAACUGUAGACAGAAAUACCUAGUUGAGGAUUAAUUAAUCUGUUAAAUCAGAAGUCGUUCAUUUCACGUAAAUAUAUUGCGUAUUCCUUCCUACAUUCCUUGUUGGAGAAAAGUCGAUUUAUUUGAUGUAGUGAUAGCGGAAAAAAAGGAAGAAAAAAAAAAAAAAAAACGUCUGAUUUGUUUCUUUGUAUCUAAACAGAAAAAAUAGUUUUGUUUCUUUGUAUCUAAACAGAAAAAAUAGUCUUGUUGGUUAAGGUGCAUAACAGCAUAAGGAAUGACGGAAAGUAGAAAAGUUCAUAGGAAUCACUCAUUUAGAAACACAAUUCAAAACUGGCUAACUUCAUUUGCAAAAAUAAAUUUAUACUAAUUUUUUCUCAUUAGAAAAAAAAUAAUAGAUUUAAUCUAACCCCAUUAAAUAGGAGAAGAAAGUUGAAAAAGAAAAGAAGAGAAAGUGAAAAUUAGUAAGUAAUCUGUUUUCACUUUUCAGCAAUGUGCAGUACAUAAACCCAACCUCCAUUUCUAUUCUCCACCUCUUUUUUAUAUCUAAGGAGAAAUUCAUUUUCGUACGCCAUUUUCAUUUUUCUUUAUGAUUGAACAAUGUUUGAUCGGCGAUCAGAAGCUUUCAUCGGCGCCAAUACAUCUCCAUAUCGGUACUACCUAUGAUUUGAUUGCAAGCUCGGAGUUGCAUCUUCAAACAAUAACAUCUUCUUCCAGGAUUAUUGCCUUUGGGCUGGGCUGGUUAUUGAAAUGAGGCUUGCAUUAAGAUUGGAAGUUUGAUGCAUUCUAGUUGGAGUUUUGUUACAUUCUUUGUUGAAUUGGUUAUACCUAUGGGUAAGCUAGAAGAAGUUGCUAAGUUCAUCAGGAAAGUUGUUUAAUCUGUUGAGGAGAGAUGGGGUUACCUCAAGUCUCAUCUUGUGAGACAUCUGAAAGUGAACCUAGUCCUUUAGGCACAGUUGUUUAUACCAUACCACAACUUGGUGGUGUCAAUGUGAGUGGGUUGUGUGUGGGACCUGCAAACCAAACAUUUCAGGAUUCUAGGUAUUAUUCUUUGCCAGAUUAUCGGCGGAACACCUUGAAGUCUCCUGAUGGAUUUGAGAAAAGGUUUUUCGAUGCAGCACCUGAUAGUGUUCUCGAAAAGGUACCAUUUGAGGACUCAUUAAUUACUGAAACCAGGAGGAAUGUUCAACAUCCAGUUUCAAGGGUUGUUGGUUUCAAUUGUAAUGAGAAGGAUGUAUCGGUUGAUGGACUAGAAGGUGCGCGUGGCUAUUGUCAAUCUGCUUCUUCCAAAUUGAGUCUGAAAGAAACCGAGCCCAGUGGACUUGUCAAGAAACGGAUGCUUUCUCCACUGAAUAAAAUGCUUCUCUAUCAACAAUUUGAUGGUGAUUCUUUAAAUAUUGGCAGCAGGGAUGUUCAGAUUAAUUGCCAUUCUAAUAGAGAUACAUAUGGCAUUUCUUUAGCACAAGAUAGUAAAAAAGCGAAUGUGGGCAGCAGAAGUCAUUCAAAUAUGCCAAUCCGGCCCACAACUAGUUGUUCUGAACUACAUGAUAGGCUGUAUAAAUACAGCAAAACCACUUCAAUACUAUUCACAGAUGGCCCUGUGUUGGAGGACAAGGAACUAGAUCCAUUUCCAUAUAUACCUUCAUCCAGAACUGAUUCGUUAUCCAAAUUAGGUGAGAUAGGGUCAGGGCCUAAGUCAGUACCUAUUAAACCAGGGUUGUACCCUCUCUCUCUGUCACCGCUCAGGCCAAAAUUUUCCGGACAAUUAGAAUCUGUGGUCAGGUUAAAGAGCAGUAAGAAAUUGGAGAUAUUGGAAAAGGUUGCAUGUUCACUAGAUGAGAGCAGGUCGGGGGUGAUAUUUUCCUCUGAAGAAGAAGAAUUCUGGAACAAUAGAAUAUCAUGUAAAGAUAAUGACAUUCUUCAUAGAGAAGCCCAAUCUCCUUCCUCAGGAACUAGAACUGGAAAACAGUGGCCUUUCUGUCAAGAGCUUGAAAGUGGAAAUUGUAAAAGAUUGGGGAAAAAUUCGCGUGGAUUUCCUGUCCGAAGGUCCUUGGUUGGGUCCUUUGAGGAGUCUCUGCUCUCUGGUCGGCUUGCAUUGGGAAGAUUUAGUCAGGACAUAGAUGGUUUCCUUGCUGUACUUGGUAUAACGGGUGGAAAUUUCUCCCCAAAGUCGCAGAAACUUCCAUUUGCAGUGACCAGUGUGGAUGGCGACAGCUAUUUAUUAUACUAUGCAUCUAUAGGUCUUGCUGGUAGUUCAUGUUCAAACAAGUGCAGAGGUGAAAAAGGGAUUCUUGAUAGUUGUGAACCACAUGAAGGAAAGAGUCGACUGCGUAUUCCUGUGAAAGGGCGCAUUCAGCUGGUCCUGAGCAAUCCCGAGAAGACACCAGUACACACCUACUUAUGUAAUUACGACUUGACUGAUAUGCCAGCUGGUACUAAGACAUUCUUGCGUCAAAGGGUGUUUCUUGCUUCCUCAGUCUCAGAUCCCAUUCAUGGUGGGGAAAUACAAAAAAUGUUGAGCAAGAAAGAUGAAAAGAAACUGUCAGAUGAAAAUCACAAUGGCAUUGACAACAUAAGUCAGGUUUUAGGAUGUUAUUCAUGCCAGAAUGACGAGGUUGAUGCUUCCUGCAAAACUGAAGUAAAGUGUGAACCUGGCUGUUCAAGGGCGAAUCCAAACGCAACUGCUGUUGGUGCUCUUCGUUAUGCUCUUCACCUGCGAUUUCUUUGUACUCUCCCCAAAAGAAGUUCAAUAUCAGUAAGGCAAGCAGAUCCUUCUUUGGCUUCAGAAAGAAAUAAAACAGACACGCAGGAUCAUAGAAGAUUUUAUCUGUACGAUGACUUGAAGGUUGUGUUUCCUCAGCGCCAUUCAGACGCUGAUGAGGGAAAGUUGAUCGUGGAAUACCACUUCCCUGAGGAUCCCAAGUACUUCGACAUCAGCAGCUGAAGUAUCUGUUAAAGGCUACGACUAUGUUUGUAGCCUUGUAGGUAUCUGUAAUCUAAGCCACCGCUUUCUAUGGGGCUAACAUGUAAAGAAUGCAAAGGGAAUAAGAAACGCUACACGUUGGUCUAAAGAUCAAGUAUGUUGCAAGUUCGGACGUGCAGCACACAGCCGGGGGAAUCCAAACUCGAAGUUACUUCUCUAUUUUGGAACUAUUAAGACAUGUUGAAACAAACAUCUCCCCUUCGAUGUACAGUAAAAAAAAUAACAAAUGGAAAAGGUCAGUGAGUGCAUUUCCAUUCUUUUCCAUUUAAACCAG